GGCGCGGCGGUCACUCGCGAACCUCGGCGAGGAUCCAGCGACGCGGAGCCGGCCGGAGGAGCGCUUCUCGUCGGAUGAGUGGGAAGACGGAGCCGGUCCUGCCGUUAACCGUCAGCCUCCGACUGCCGCUGAGGCCAACCGCCUGUCUUGGAAAUCGUCUCGUUUUAAACGUGCCGGGGCUCUGGUGCAAACCGUACCUGGAAGCGUGGCGCAAUGGAAAAGCUGUCAUUUCAGGGCUGCGCGAUAGCCCAGUUCCCGGCCUGGAGGUGUUAAAAACUUUCAAAGUAUUUUCGUCCUUAAAAGGGUCUUACAACACAGGAACUGGAGGCCCCAAGCGGUGGUGGGAUCUCCAUCCUUAA
rnacentral:lncRNA from 1 species